CACGCUAACGUAUUCCCUUAUUUCUACACAAAAGAAAAUGUUUUAAUAAACGUUUCUUUCCAAACAAAGCGUUUAUAAUUUGUUUGUUAUCCUGUUACAAUGAUUAUAUAUAUAUUAUUUUAAAUUAACCGUAGGGACUGGGGUUUUGCUGUGGGCGUAACAGUGUCAGAGAUGUCCUCAAUGAAUCGGCUGCUCUUGUUGAUAAUUACAAUCCGUCUCAUCAAGAAAUCCUAUUCGUUUACUAUUCCGGGCAGAACUUAUUUUGCCCAUGUGAAUGGCAAUGUAAUUGUCAGUUGCUCUUUUUAUGAUGGUGAUUUCCUGCAGCAAUGGGUGGAAAACGGUCCGAUAGCUUCUUGUAAUGAAGUCCACCCACUCAACCACGAUGGAUACAAGAUUGAAGAGGUUACCUGCAAAGGGAACGUUGCUUCUAUGAAAGUGACACUCCUUAAAAUCAAAACGCUUAAUUUCAUUUGUUAUUCUAAUGCAUGUGUUAAUACCAAUUUGACACUUCUGCCAC